UAUUACACGAACAAAAAAAUGAAAAUUAAUAUCUACACUAACUUUAGCAUUUUCAUAUUUUUGUAUUUCAAAUUGGACUUGUAUUUCUCACAUCGGUUAAGAAGAAAAUAGGAAUUUGACUGCCCAAUAUACUUAGAUAUGUUACCUGAAGAAUAAUAAGGAAUUGAUCCCAGUAUAAUCAUGAGUUUUAUACAAAUUUUAGGUCGGAUAUUGUAGCAGAUUAUACAGAGGAUAGCAGUGAUAGUUCUGGUGUUGAUGAAAAUUAUGAUCCAAGAGGAGAAUUAUUUGAUGAUGAAUCGAGUUCAAAUUAUGGUAAGGUUUA